rnacentral:rRNA from 1 species
GAUUAACGCUGGCGGCGUGCAUAACACAUGCAAGUCGAACGAUGAAACUUAAAUGAUUUCUUCGGAAUGAACUUAAGUGGAUUAGUGGCGGACGGGUGAGUAACGCGUGAGUAACCUGCCUUACACAAGGGGAUAGCCGUUGGAAACGACGAAUAAUACCCUAUGAAACUAUCACUUCGCAUGAAGCGAUAGUCAAAGUGUUAGCGGUGUAAGAUGGACUUGCGUCUGAUUAGCUAGUUGGUGAGAAAAAAGCCCACCAAGGCAACGAUCAGUAGCCGGCUGGAGAGAGUGUACGGCCACAUUGGGACUGAGACACGGCCCAGACUCCUACGGGAGGCAGCAGUGGGGAAUUUUGCACAAUGGGGGAAACCCUGAUGCAGCGACGCCGCGUGAUUUAGAAGGCCUUCGGGUUGUAAAAAUCUUUUGUAUAGGAAGAAAAUGACAGUACUAUACGAAUAAGGUCCGGCUAAGUACGUG